rnacentral:rRNA from 2 species
AUUAGAUACCCGGGUAGUCCUAGCCGUAAACGAUACUCGCUAGGUGUCGGCCACGGUGCGACCGUUGUCGGUGCCGUAGGGAAGCCGUGAAGCGAGCCACCUGGGAAGUACGGCCGCAAGGCUGAAACUUAAAGGAAUUGGCGGGGGAGCACCACAACGGGUGGAGCUUGCGGUUUAAUUGGAUUCAACGCCGGAAAUCUUACCGGGACCGACAGCAAUAUGAAGGCCAGGCUGAAGACUUUGCCGGAUUAGCUGAGAGGAGGUGCAUGGC